AAAAAUGUGUGAUACGGUUCUGGGGUAGUCGUGAGAAGUCCGAUAGGUCGAACGGCGAGAUUCACGCCCCUCCAGGCCACUGGCCCCCGCCCUCCGCAGAAGGGGCCCGCCGACCGCGCGGAGCAGUCCCUGGCGGGGUCGUGUCCGGUUGCCUUUCCACUCGCCGCGGGGCGGGAAGUUUCCAGCGUGCGGUGGGCCGCACUUCUCCCCUAGUAGGAAAUCGCAACCAGAUGGGUACCAGCCUAAGAACCUGGUGCGCAACCUGUCCUUCAGCGGGCCAAGGUUCUCGCUUGUUGGGCAGAGCAUCAGUGUCCUGGCUGGCUGCUCGGCGGUAUGUAUGGAGGAGUCGAUUCGCCAAAGCCUUUGGGCGCCAGUGCUCCCGCCAAGUGCGCGCAGUUCUUCUCGCAUGACGGACCUACCUGGGCUGGCCCCGGACCCGCGCCGCUGUUGGCUUGGGAUGCUCUCGGGCGGAAUAAUCGCUGCCGUCAGCGGCGCUACAGCUUUGGACAAAUUCACGACCCGUCU
rnacentral:rRNA from 1 species